UUAAUAGCACAAUACUAUAGCGUUUUGUUCACAAAUGCUAUUAUAAGUUAUAGGACGAGUUUAAGAUAGCGUUUGUAGUUUUGGAAACGCUAUUAAUACUCUUAACAGAUAAAAAUAUAAACAUGCGCCUAAUAAUUUGGGUUUCUAAGUAUUUAUAGCAUAGUUUUUAAUAGCAGAAUUAUCAGGAAACGCUAUUAAAAGUGAACCGGGAAAACCUAAAAAUAAUUGGCCUUGAACCGAAACUAAAUUUCCUUUUCCCUCUGAAAGUCUCGAUAUUUUCUUAAGUAUAGCUCAGAGAACUCAAAACAAGCUCUCUUACAUUGUCUCGCUCGAUUCACUCUCUCACUCUCUCACUCGAUUCAAUCUCUCACUCGAUUCAAGCUCUCUUACAAUCUCUCAUAUCAUUCGAUUCAAGCUCUUUGUGUUUACGGGAUCUACUCGAUUGGUGUUGCAUCUCUCUAACUAUAAACGGAAGAUUUCGGCUUAUUUUGUCACGGUCAAAGAGAGCUUACUAUACAAUCUCCUU